rnacentral:rRNA from 1 species
UGGGGAAUAUUGGACAAUGGGCGAAAGCCUGAUCCAGCCAUGCCGCGUGUGUGAAGAAGGUCUUCGGAUUGUAAAGCACUUUAAGUUGGGAGGAAGGGCAUUUACCUAAUACGUAAGUGUUUUGACGUUACCGACAGAAUAAGCACCGGCUAACUCUGUGCCAGCAGCCGCGGUAAUACAGAGGGUGCAAGCGUUAAUCGGAAUUACUGGGCGUAAAGCGCGCGUAGGUGGUUUGUUAAGUUGGAUGUGAAAUCCCCGGGCUCAACCUGGGAACUGCAUUCAAAACUGACAAGCUAGAGUAUGGUAGAGGGUGGUGGAAUUUCCUGUGUAGCGGUGAAAUGCGUAGAUAUAGGAAGGAACACCAGUGGCGAAGGCGACCACCUGGACUGAUACUGACACUGAGGUGCGAAAGCGUGGGGAGCAAAACAGGAUUAGAUACCCUGGUAGUCCACGCCGUAAACGAUGUCAACUAGCCGUUGGGAGCCUUGAGCUCUUAGUGGCGCAGCUAACGCAUUAAGUUGACCGCCUGGGGAGUACGGCCGCAAGGUUAAAAACUCAAAGGAAUUGACGGGGUCAUAGCUGUUUCCUG